UCCUGUGUAGCUUAGUUGGUUAAAGCACUACAUUAGUAGAAACCGGUGGUUCGAAUCCACUCACAGGAACAA
rnacentral:tRNA from 3 species